UUCCUAGUGGCUCAGGUGGUAAAGAAUCUGUCUGCAAUGCAGGAGACCCAGGUUCAAUCCCUGGAUAGGGAA
rnacentral:tRNA from 1 species